rnacentral:pre_miRNA from 1 species
AAAGUACUCCCUCCAUCCCAAAAUUCUUGUCUUAGAUUUGUCUAGAUACGGAUGUAUCAAGUCACAUUUUAGUAUUAGAUAUAUCUGUAUCUAGACAAAUCUAAGACAAGAAAUUUGGGACAGAGGGAGUAGUUG